UCGAGGGUAAAGUCCACGCUUGGGCGGUGGGAGCUCACAGCUCUGUCCUCACACAGGGCUGAGGUUGCUGGGGAAGGCAGGGCUGUGGUCUAGAGGAAGAUGAGACUGUUGGGUCUUCUUCUGUGCCUGGUGGCAGGUCCCCAAGGUGUCCUGUCCCAGGUGCAGCUGCAGGAGUCGGGCCCAGGCCUGGUGAAGCCCUCGCAGACGCUCUCCCUCACCUGCACUGUCUCUGGUGGCUCCAUCACAACCAGCUAUUAUGCUUGGAGCUGGAUCCGCCAGCCCCCAGGGAAGGGGCUGGAGUGGAUGGGAGUCAUAGCUUAUGAUGGCAGCACUUACUACAGCCCAUCCCUCAAGAGCCGCACUUCCAUCUCCAGGGACACGUCCAAGAACCAGUUCUCCCUGCAGCUGAGCUCUGUGACCCCUGAGGACACGGCCGUGUAUUACUGUGCCAGAGACACAGUGAGGGGAAGUCAGGGUGCGCCCAGACACAAACCUCCCCGCCUGGGGAGCCCGGGACCCCCAGGGGGUGCUCAGAAGCCACCAAGGGCAGGGCUGAGCCCCAGAGCAGGUGCAGAGGGGCCGGGAGGGUUUUGUGGUUAGAAUCCCUGCUUUCCU